GUGACAACCGGGAAGACUGGAGUUCUCUUCUUACCCGCAGAUUAGAUACACCACAGGCAGCAGCAGUACAGGCUUUUUUGACGUUGCCCUACCUAUAUGUCUCAUUCUUGACUUGGAAGAGUCAGAUGAUAGUUCAGUUUCCAUGCCCAUUUAAUUCUUGGUGUGU
rnacentral:sRNA from 1 species